rnacentral:rRNA from 1 species
GAGUUUGAUCCUGGCUCAGAUUGAACGCUAGCGGGAUGCCUUACACAUGCAAGUCGAACGGCAGCACGGACUUCGGUCUGGUGGCGAGUGGCGAACGGGUGAGUAAUGUAUCGGAACGUGCCCAGUAGCGGGGGAUAACUACGCGAAAGCGUAGCUAAUACCGCAUACGCUCUACGGGGGAAAGCAGGGGAUCGUAAGACCUUGCACUAUUGGAGCGGCCGAUAUCGGAUUAGCUAGUUGGUGGGGUAACGGCUCACCAAGGCGACGAUCCGUAGCUGGUUUGAGAGGACGACCAGCCACACUGGGACUGAGACACGGCCCAGACUCCUACGGGAGGCAGCAGUGGGGAAUUUUGGACAAUGGGGGAAACCCUGAUCCAGCCAUCCCGCGUGUGCGAUGAAGGCCUUCGGGUUGUAAAGCACUUUUGGCAGGAAAGAAACGUCAUGGGUUAAUACCCCGUGAAACUGACGGUACCUGCAGAAUAAGCACCGGCUAACUACGUGCCAGCAGCCGCGGUAAUACGUAGGGUGCAAGCGUUAAUCGGAAUUACUGGGCGUAAAGCGUGCGCAGGCGGUUCGGAAAGAAAGAUGUGAAAUCCCAGAGCUUAACUUUGGAACUGCAUUUUUAACUACCGGGCUAGAGUGUGUCAGAGGGAGGCGGAAUUCCGCGUGUAGCAGUGAAAUGCGUAGAUAUGCGGAGGAACACCGAUGGCGAAGCAGCCUCCUGGGAUAACACUGACGCUCAUGCACGAAAGCG